AUUGAACGCUGGCGGCAGGCCUAACACAUGCAAGUCGAGCGAGCGGAGGACGGGUGUGUAAUGUAUGGGGACUGCCCGAUAGAGGGGGAUAACUACUGGAACCGGUGGCUAAUACCGCAUACUAUCGGAUACCCCAUAUGGGAUUAGCUAGUAGGUGGGUUAAAGGCUCACCUAGGCGACGGUUUCUAGCUGGUCUGAGAGGAUGAUCAGCCAAACUGUGACUGUGAGACGGCCCGGACCACUCCGGAGGAAGCAGUGGGGAAUAUUGCACAAGGUGGGCAAGCCGAAUGCAGCCAUGCCGCGUGGAGGAAAAGGGCUUUAGGGUUGUAAAGUACGUUCAGCGAGGAGGCGUUACCCGAAGAAGAAGCACCGGCUAACUCCGUGCCAGCAGCCGCGGUAAUAC
rnacentral:rRNA from 1 species